rnacentral:rRNA from 1 species
UACGAAGGGGGCUAGCGUUGUUCGGAAUCACUGGGCGUAAAGCGCACGUAGGCGGAUUGUUAAGUCGGGGGUGAAAGCCCAGGGCUCAACCCUGGAAUUGCCUUCGAUACUGAGAGUCUUGAGUUCGGAAGAGGUUGGUGGAACUGCGAGUGUAGAGGUGAAAUUCGUAGAUAUUCGCAAGAACACCAGUGGCGAAGGCGGCCAACUGGUCCGAUACUGACGCUGAGGCGGCGAAAGCGUGGGGAGCAAACAGG